rnacentral:rRNA from 1 species
GAGCAAUAACAGGUCUGUGAUGCCCUUAGAUGUCCGGGGCUGCACGCGCGCUACACUGACUGGCUCAGCGUGUGCCUACCCUACGCCGGCAGGCGCGGGUAACCCGUUGAACCCCAUUCGUGAUGGGGAUCGGGGAUUGCAAUUAUUCCCCAUGAACGAGGAAUUCCCAGUAAGUGCGGGUCAUAAGCUUGCGUUGAUUAAGUCCCUGCCCUUUGUACACACCGCCCGUCGCUACUACCGAUUGGAUGGUUUAG